rnacentral:rRNA from 1 species
CCUACGGGAGGCUGCAGUGAGGAAUAUUGGUCAAUGGGCGCGAGCCUGAACCAGCCAAGUAGCGUGAAGGAUGACUGCCCUACGGGUUGUAAACUUCUUUUAUAAAGGAGUAAAGUGAGGCACGUGUGCCUUUUUGUAUGUACUUUAUGAAUAAGGAACGGCUAACUCCGUGCCAGCAGCCGCGGUAAUACGGAGGGUCCGAGCGUUAUCCGGAUGUAUUGGGUUUAAAGGGAGCGUAGAUGGGUUGUUAAGUCAGUUGUGAAUGUUUGCGGCUCAACCGUAAAAUUGCAAUUGAUACUGGCAGUCUUGAGUAUAGUUGAGGUAGGCAGAAUUCGUGGUGUAGCGGUGAAAUGCUUAGAGAUCACGAAGAACUCCGAUUGCGAAGGCAGCUUACUAAACGGCCACUGACAUUGAUGCUCGAAAGUGUGGGUAUCAAACAGGAUUAGAUACCCGGGUAGUC